rnacentral:rRNA from 1 species
CAGUCGCCGCGGGAAUACGUAGGUGGCAAGCGUUGUCCGGAAUUAUUGGGCGUAAAGCGCGCGCAGGCGGAUCAGUUAGUCUGUCUUAAAAGUUCGGGGCUUAACCCCGUGAGGGGAUGGAAACUGCUGAUCUAGAGUAUCGGAGAGGAAAGUGGAAUUCCUAGUGUAGCGGUGAAAUGCGUAGAUAUUAGGAAGAACACCAGUGGCGAAGGCGACUUUCUGGACGAAAACUGACGCUGAGGCGCGAAAGCCAGGGGAGCGAACGGGAUUAGAUACCCCCGUAGUCCCUGUCUCUUAUACA